GAUUUUACCCUCAAGUGAGAGCUAUUAUGGUUGUAAGAGCAGGUCGGGCAGUGUCGGGGGAUAUUGGAGUGACACGUUCAGCAAUUCGAUUUGAUCUGGCGUCUCCUCAUUAAGGACGCAGUCACCUUUUUUAAUCGAUACAGUGAAAUGGUGAAAUAAAUGCAUAAAAAUGAAUAAGACGAAAAUGGUAUCCGAGAAAGGAGUUUCCAGUAAUUCAAGGAUCCUCAUACUCCUUUCUCAGUUGGAGAAGGCAAAUGCAGAUCCUGUGAUGUUUGAUACAGAAAAUGCAAAGCACAUAACAUCAAAGAUUCUUCAUCUAAUUCAAACCCAAGAAAAAACAAAAAAAGAAAUGACGGCAAAGGGCUCCUCUGGGAUUGAAAUCAUUCUUUCUACACUUGAGAGUUCAAGGGACCCUCAGACUAUUCUGAAUGUACUCUAUAUUCUGAAUGAAUUGAUAUCUGCAACUGGUGGACGAAGAGUUGGAGUGCUGAUAUCAAAAGGUGGAACUCAGAUUAUUUUGCAGCUGUUACUUAGCGCUAGUAAAGAAUCGCCACCUAGUGAGGAGCUCAUGGUUCAGCUUCAUUCAAUUCUAGCAAAGGCUGGACCAAAAGACAAAAAAUUUGCUAUCAAAGCCAGAAUUAGUGGAGCCCUAAAUAUAACUUUAAAUUUGGUGAAACAAAAUCUUCAGAACUCAAAGCUAAUUUUACCAUGCCUUCAGGUUCUUCGUGUGUAUUCUGGAAACUCUGUAAAUGCUGUAUCAUUAGGAAAGAAUGGAGCUGUGGAGCUUAUGUUUAAAAUAAUUGGACCUUUCAGCAAACGGAAUACAAGCUUAAUGAAGGUAACUCUGGACACAUUUGCAGCUUUACUAAAAUCAAAAUCGAAUGCCAGAAGAGCAGUUGACAGGGGCUACAUACCCAUGCUAUUAGCUAUUUAUCAGGACUGGCAUCGCCACGACAUUCGACACAGACACAUGCUUAUUCGAAAAGGGAUUCUAGGUUGCAUCAAAAACAUCACAAACGUCAAAUUGGGCAGAAAAGCAUUUCUUGAUGCAGAUGGCAUGCGAUUACUUUAUAGCACAUCUCAAGAAUGCCUGCCUGUAAGGACACUGGAUCCUAUUGUCAAUAUUUCAAGUCUUAUCAUGAGGAAAUGUUUCCCCAAGAAUCGUCUUCCUGUUCCUACAAUAAAGAGUGUGUUCAAUUACCACCUACCUGUCAUUUUAGCAAAUGGACCGGUAGCCCAACUCUACAGUUUACCCCCAGAAGUGGAUGAUGUGGUGGAUGAAAGUGAUGACAAUGAUGACAUUGAGGCUGAAAAUGAAACAGAGACUGAAGAUGAUGAAAAGGACCACAGUUUGAAGUUUUUAUCCCUGCUUCAGAAUGAAGAUAUUGAAACUGAUAUCAACAAAUUAAGACCAAAGCAAGAUCUUUGUAGGCCACCUGAAGAAUUAAAAUAUUAUGAGAGAUUUUUUGUGGAGCUUACUGAAGAUUUUCAGGGAUAUAAUUCAGGAACAGAGGAAGUUGCUUCCAAUAUUCCAGUUUCGGAGCCAAAGUUUUCUGGAGCCAUUGUUGUACCCACAGCAGAUCAAGAGCCAGCUGCUUGUCUUAACUCUGUAAAAGGAGAGAAAAAAACUCUACGAACUGAUGAAGAGAGCAAACAGACUUUAAAUUCUUCCUUUUCUACAGCAGACUUAGAAAAUCAAACAUCAUCUUUAGAUAUGAACAAUUUUCAAGUCUGUUCUGAAAUCCCAAAUUCCACUAAACACUUAUCUUCACAGUGCCUCAAUCAUGAACUUGUCAGGGAUAUGGACAGAUUAUCACUAGGUGGAGAAUGUGCCUCAAAAAACCUCAGAUAUUGUCCUUCUAAAUAUGUAAAUGGUCAAAAUAGCAAGAUCUCACAUGAGUGCAGUGACUGUUGUAAUGGUUGUCAGAGUAUUUCAGAAUCUAUUGUACCUUCAGUUGUGGACACAACUACAGAGACCACAUAUGUGGAUGAAGCAGAAAAUGAUGAUGACAGCAGUUCACAUUCUUCAAGUGACCAAGGGUUUUUGGAGGUUCCGGAUACAGCAGCCUUACUUCCUUUACAUGACCCAGACCUCUACAUUGAAACUGUUAAAAACACCAAAUCUGUUCCAGAGUAUACAGAAGUGGCUUAUCCUGACUACUGUGGUCAUAUUGCACCUUCAUUUAAGGAACCUAUUCUUGAAAGACUUUAUGGUGUGCAAAGGGCUAAAAUCUUUCAAGAUAUCGAGAGGCUAAUUCAAUCAAAUGAUAUAAUUGAUAAAGUGGUGUAUGAUCUUGAUUUGCCCAGUUGUCCAGUUAUUGAUGAAGGGGAUUCCUUGAAAUUUAAUUCUCAGUUUGAGUCUGGAAAUUUGCGCAAAGCAAUUCAAAUUAGAAAGUUUGAAUAUGACCUCAUACUGAACCCUGAUAUAAACAGCAACCAUUACCACCAGUGGUUUUAUUUUGAGGUUAGCCGGAUGCGCAGUGGUAUCAGCUAUCGAUUCAACAUAAUCAACUGUGAGAAGUCCAACAGCCAAUUUAACUAUGGUAUGCAAGUUCUGAUGUACUCUGUCCAGGAGGCACAAAAUGGUAGACCUCACUGGGUAAGGACUGGAACUGACAUCUGUUACUACAAGAACCACUUUUCCCGAAGUUCUAUUGCUGCUGGAGGUCAGAAGGGGAAGUCCUAUUAUACCAUGUCUUUCACAGUAACAUUUGGUCAUAAGGAUGACGUCUGUUACUUUGCUUAUCAUUAUCCUUACACAUACUCAACUUUGAAGAUGCACCUUCAAAAACUGGAAUCCUUGCGCACCCCUGAAAUAUACUGCCGCCAAGAUGUGCUCUGUGAUACAUUGGGUGGAAACAGCUGUCCAGUCCUAACUAUCACAGCAGUGCCAGACCCCAAACAUUAUGAAAAUAUCUUUCAAUUUAGAAAUCGUCCCUAUAUUUUUCUCAGUGCCCGAGUACAUCCUGGUGAGACAAAUUCGAGCUGGGUAAUGAAAGGAACUCUGGAGUUCUUAAUGAGCAACAACUCGGUGGCUCAGAGUCUACGAGAAGCAUAUAUUUUUAAGAUUGUUCCCAUGCUGAACCCAGAUGGCGUUAUCAAUGGAAACCAUAGAUGCUCCUUAAGUGGCGAAGAUCUGAACAGGCAAUGGCAAAACCCAAAUCCUGACCUUCACCCUACAAUUUAUCACACAAAAAGUCUCUUGCAGUACUUAGCAGCAAUUAGGAGGACACCUCUGGUGUUUUGUGAUUACCAUGGGCAUUCCCGGAAAAAGAAUGUAUUCAUGUAUGGAUGUAGUAUUAAAGAAACAGUAUGGCAGACCAAUGUAAAUGCUACCUCUUGUGAUUUCCAAGAAGACCUUGGCUAUAGAGCACUUCCCAAGAUUUUGAGUCAAAUAGCCCCUGCAUUCUGCAUGAGUAGUUGCAGUUUUGUAGUUGAGAAGUCCAAAGAGUCCACUGCACGUGUUGUGGUCUGGCGUGAGAUUGGUGUGCAGAAGAGUUAUACUAUGGAGAGCACAUUAUGCGGUUGUGAUCAAGGGAAAUAUAAGGGUCUUCAAAUUGGAACAAAGGAGCUAGAGGAGAUGGGAGCAAAGUUUUGUGUUGGGCUUCUGCGUUUGAAAAAAAUAACCGCACCACUGGAUUAUAGACCCAAUUCCCAUUUCCUAGAUAUUGACACCGAAUUAAUUGAGUCCAGCUGUAAAAUCACAAGGGAGCAAGUGCUUCAUACAUCUCCAGAUAAACAACCCCCAGAGUCAAAACAAUGAGUGCAAAUUCAGUCUCAUGACCUGGGAACAGGGAAGUACUGUAAGCCAAAUGUAUUAUUUCUCCAAGAUAGUCAUCCCUCUGCAGUUCAAACUCAAAGCACUUUAUUUCAUAUAGGAUGAGGUAAGUGGUCUAUGCUCCAGAAUAAAGAAAAAAAUAAAAACAAAAGAACAGAGAGGAGUCCUCCAAAGAUCUACAAGAUUGUAAGUACCCACCUUUUCUGUGUAUUUGAUAUACUUUUUAUUAAGAUUGUUUUGUAUAGUGCUUGUUACCUGUACUUGACCAUAUAACUCUUAAUUUAAAAAAACAAAAAAAAAAAAAAAACAAAUGUGUAGUUAAAUAAUAACACUGCAAACUUUUAAUAAAAAAAAUAAACAAACAUCUUGGCAAUACAAGUUACAGUUAGCCAAAAUGAAAACUCCUCUAAACUGCUUUCUUAGACAAAGUAAACCUCAGUGUCACAUACCACAUACUAUAUAACCAUUUAUUACUAAGGGCUCUUUGCUGUUUUAUUUCAUGGACAGAAACAAUACUGAGACAAAAUAGCAGUAGAACCAUGUUCCAUAGCAAGAAGAGUUGAAGAGAAAAGACGGUCAGUAACAGUGGGUAAAAAUUACCAAGUGAAAAGUUUAGUAAAACUAACAAGUGAAUUUCCAAUAUGAAUAACUUAAUUUGCAACUCUAAUAAUCUAAUGCUCCAAUAAAGUAAUGCUUUUUCAGCAUCACUUUAAAUUGCUUAACCAAUGGAGCAACUCCUACACUACCAGAGUGACCUUUCCACAGUGAGUCUGUGUAGCUAAAGGUUCACCUUCCCGUGGUAGUUUAAUGUAUUGAUGGAUCUAUUAAACAAACCAGAUAGAUUGCAAUGUGGAAAAUCCUUCUUGUACAUCAGAUAGUAAAAAACUGUAUUGUAUUGAUAUGAAAUGAUGUAUAUAAAAAAUCUAUACUGUAUUGAUAUGAAAUGAUGUAGAAAAUGUACCAAAGCCUGACCUCAAUGUGAGAGUGUAUUGAGUCCUCAGUUCAACAGUGGUGAUCCUGGCACUUCCUUUGCCUGUUUUAAAUCACAGUCUCCAACAUGGUGGAAUUUCUAGUUCAGCCAAAAGUACCUUCAGAUGUUUGGACAUAUUCCCAGUUCUUUAAGAAAAUUUUGACAUACUCAUGUAGUUUCAGCUAAUCUGUCUGAAUUUCUGCAUAAAGAAUUUUGUUGAUUGCAACAUUGAUUUUCUUUUCAAUUUUUUUAUUAAUAAACGUCUGCAGGAUAAUGAGCCGAACAUUUGUGGAAAGAGCAGACCAUUUCUUGUUAUGUUUAAAAAGUGGACUUUUGCAAUGGCAAUUUAUUCCCUUUCUGUGCUAAACCAGCCUGUUAUAUUUAAACCGUUAUCUACUUGCCUUCUUUAAAAUAUGCCUUGUAUGUUAGUGCAUAUUCGAAUAAUUAGGCUAAGAGCAAAUUGUAAAAAGCUCUGCAGUAUUCUAAAUCUAAGGUAUUGCUUGUCUAUGCAUGUUUUUAUAGAUAGAAGAUAAGAGCUGGUUUAAAUCAAAUGUAUAAUGCAGAACUGCCACCAUAAUGCACAUAUGGUUUGGUGUCAUAAUCUGUUCGUAAGUUACUCAAGCAUGCUAUACUGUUAUCAACUUUACACAAGCAUCUUGUGCUGGUGCCUCCCAUUUAUGAUGCCAGAAGCAUAAGCGAAUGCAACAGAUUUUGAAAACAUAAUUAGUUUUUUAAACUUUGGUUAAUGGCAAAGAGCUUCAUCAAGAUCAGUAAAAAAGACAAGAAAAGAGAAAUCAAUCCAAGGAUACUCAGAUUUACCCCCGGCACUUCAAAACACACAAGAAAUGAGCCACCUUGAAGGACUUGUAAAAUCUAGCUUUCCCAGGAUGCAUGUUGUAUACUGCCAUACUUUAUUUUGCUUUUUUAUGGCACUGUCUAUUUGAAUAAUGCUUAAAGAUUAAAACUUAUUACACCUGCUUUCCUGCCUGCAUGUUUGCUGUAUGUUACCUGCCUAGGGCUAUGUCCAAGCUCCUUUCUCAGCUAGGAUAAUCAGGAGUGAUGGAGGAGAGAGAGAGCACUUCCAUUAAAAAGGAUACAGUGAACAGACAUUACAGCUAUGAACUGUACAUCCCCAAAGGCUGUCCCACCACAUAUGUGCUUGAUGAAGAUGAACCCCGUUUUAUGGAAGACGUGGAUUACAGUGCAGAGAGUAAUGAUGAG